UUGGAGGGCAAGUCUGGUGCCAGCAGCCGCGGUAAUUCCAGCUCCAAUAGCGUAUAUUAAAGUUGUUGUGGUUAAAAAGCUCGUAGUUGAACCUUGGGCCUGGCUGGCCGGUCCGCCUCACCGCGUGUACUGGUCCGGCCGGGCCUUUCCCUCUGUGGAACCCCAUGCCCUUCACUGGGUGUGGCGGGGAACAGGACUUUACUGUGAAAAAUUAGAGUGCUCCAGGCAGGCCUAUGCUCGAAUACAUUAGCAUGGAAUAAUAGAAAGU
rnacentral:rRNA from 1 species